AGUUAUCCAAAGAAUCCAGACCAGUUAUGCGAAUCUAAAAAUAAUUAUCAAAAUGAAAACAAAAUUAAAACCCUAGAAAAUACAUCCCCAAACCUAAUUUGAUAAUUAUUGUUCCGAUAUCUGUUCGUUCCCAAACUUUCACUACCAUCAAAAGCCUGUCUACUGUGUUUCCUUCCACCAACCCCAUAUUUAAAAAAAAAGGUCUCCUCAAUUACAUUUAUUGAUAAUUUUAGUUUUUUAAUUAAACACAUAGAAAUACCAUUUCAGCUUAUGAUCACCAUAGGUAGCUAGACUCUAAGCUGCUUAAAUUAUUGUCCAAAACAAAAAAAGACAGGAACAUUCUAGUUAUUCCAUGCUGCCAGAACAAGGGUAAAUGGAAACUUCCCGCUGUUUUGUAAGAACUCCCAUAUCCUCACCUCCUCCCACUGCUGCCUUUGAGGACUCUUGGAGUUCUAGAGAGGUCAAUUUAGCCUCUCUUGUUCAAGCAAAGUAGCCAGUCCACCCAAUAUGGAAGGAUUAAAGCUUGUCCUAGUUUUGCUUGAUUGUUGUACUUCUAGCAUGCUAAAGACCUAAAAAAUGGGAGGAAGAAAAUACAACAGAAGGCACCAUUCCAGUACCAAACUGAAAAGAAACACAAAAACAAGAGAGCAGCAUGUUUUCAACAGCUUGCAUGGAGAAAGUGGAAAAAAUAUUGACUGGGGAGUUUGGAUAGCACUGUUCAUUUUCUCUCACCGCCCGCGUUAUUUGUCUUACGGAGCAGGAGCCAGAUACAAUUCUGGCUCACAGGCCAAAGGAAGAGGUGGAGGGGUUUUGUGGAAGCUUGAGGAUAGUGGGGAAAUUAGGGCUGGAGACUCAAGUGGCUCGGGGCCAGGAUGAAGUCAGGGGAGGCGCCAAAUAUUUCUUCCUCCUGGAUUUGGGCAUCCUCUUUGGUCCGCCUUAGUCCCAAGAGGGCACAGCACAGAUCACGUUGGUAGGUCCCUGACGCCUUCAGACCACUGCGAGCAGGAUGAAUCCCUGCCCCUGUUUCUUUCGACUGCGGAAAGGACACGGGGGCCCCUUUCGCUUUCUCAGCCCACCUAUCUUCUGGAAUUCAGGCAUACGGCUCCAGCCACGGGGGCCAGGAUGGAGCCUCCACCAGCCCAGGUGGAACUCAGUUGCCCCACCUGGGCGGAGCUGGAGCUCGGGCCUUAGCCCCGCCUCUCCGGGCGCAGGGCGGGGCCUGGUUGCGGGGCGGGCCCUUGUCGCGGGGCGGGGCUUGGGCGCGAAGCGGGCGGCGGCGACCAGCCGGAGGAGAAAGAACAUGGCGGGCGCGGCGGCCCCCGGGACCGGCCCGGUGGCCGCGGGUGGAGAUGGAGACGAUUCACUAUACCCGAUCGCUGUUUUAAUCGACGAGCUCCGCAAUGAGGACGUGCAGCUCCGUCUCAACAGUAUUAAGAAAUUAUCAACAAUUGCUCUAGCACUUGGAGUAGAAAGAACGCGAACUGAACUGCUGCCAUUCCUUACAGAUACAAUUUAUGAUGAAGAUGAAGUACUCUUAGCUCUUGCUGAGCAGCUGGGAAAUUUCACUGGCCUGGUCGGAGGUCCUGACUUUGCCCACUGUUUGCUGCCUCCUCUGGAAAGUCUGGCGACCGUGGAAGAAACUGUGGUUCGGGACAAAGCCGUGGAGUCCCUGCGGCAGAUCUCCCAGGAGCACACUCCUGUCGCUCUGGAAGCUCACUUUGUACCUCUGGUGAAACGCCUGGCGAGUGGGGAUUGGUUCACUUCUCGCACAUCUGCAUGUGGUUUGUUCAGCGUUUGCUAUCCCAGGGCUUCCAAUGCUGUCAAAGCAGAAAUUAGACAGCACUUCCGUUCCUUAUGCUCAGAUGAUACACCAAUGGUACGACGUGCUGCUGCUUCCAAAUUGGGUGAAUUCGCGAAAGUUUUGGAGUUGGACAGUGUGAAAAGUGAAAUUGUGCCAUUGUUCACUAAUCUAGCUUCAGAUGAACAGGAUUCAGUGCGCCUCCUAGCCGUGGAAGCUUGUGUCAGUAUCGCCCAGUUACUGUCUCAGGAUGACCUUGAGGCUUUGGUGAUGCCUACACUUCGACAAGCCGCGGAAGAUAAAUCUUGGCGAGUUCGCUAUAUGGUAGCUGACAAAUUUUCAGAGCUCCAGAGAGCUGUGGGUCCUAAAAUCACCCUGAAUGACCUCAUCCCCGCCUUUCAGAACCUACUUAAAGACUGUGAAGCUGAAGUCCGAGCAGCUGCUGCCCACAAAGUAAAAGAACUUUGUGAGAACUUGCCCGUUGAAGGUAGAGAGACCAUAAUUAUGAAUCAAAUUCUGCCCUGUAUAAAGGAAUUAGUAUCCGAUACAAAUCAACAUGUCAAAUCGGCUCUAGCUUCUGUAAUUAUGGGAUUGUCUACCAUUUUGGGCAAAGAGAAUACCAUUGAACACCUUCUACCUCUUUUUCUAGCUCAGUUAAAGGAUGAGUGUCCUGAAGUUCGUUUGAAUAUCAUCUCCAAUUUGGAUUGUGUGAAUGAAGUGAUUGGAAUCCGGCAGCUCUCCCAGUCACUCCUUCCUGCCAUCGUGGAGCUGGCUGAAGAUGCCAAAUGGAGGGUCCGGCUGGCCAUCAUUGAGUAUAUGCCGCUGCUGGCGGGCCAGCUGGGUGUGGAGUUCUUUGAUGAAAAGCUGAAUUCUUUAUGUAUGGCCUGGCUUGUGGACCAUGUGUAUGCCAUCCGUGAAGCUGCCACCAACAACCUCAUGAAACUAGUUCAGAAGUUUGGUACAGAGUGGGCCCAAAACACCAUCGUUCCCAAGGUGUUAGUAAUGGCCAAUGAUCCUAAUUACUUACAUAGAAUGACCACUUUAUUCUGCAUUAAUGUGCUGUCUGAAGCCUGUGGCCAGGAAAUAACCACUAAGCAGAUGCUGCCUAUUGUAUUGAAAAUGGCCGGAGACCAAGUAGCAAAUGUCCGAUUCAACGUGGCCAAAUCUCUACAGAAAAUUGGACCAAUUCUAGAUACUGAGUAAGAUUAAAAAGUAGAUUUCAAUUGUUAUACCAUAUAGGCAGUAAUAGCUAAAAUUUGGUGAUUUUUUUUUUUUUUUUUUUUUUUGUCUUUUUAAGGCCGCACCCACGGCAUAUGGAAGUUCCCAGGCUAGGGGUCGAAUCAGCUGUAGCCGCCGGCCUACGCCACAGCCGCAGCGACGCCAGAUCCGAGCCUUGUCUUCGACCUACACCACAGGUCACGGUUCCUAGUCGGAUUCAUUUCCGCUAUGCUACGAUGGGAACUCCAAAUUUGGUGAUUUUUUUUAGAAGUUCCCCUGUGGUGCAGCAGGUUAAAGAUCUGGUGUUGCUGCAGCUGUGGUACAGGUCACAACUGCAGCACAGGUUCAGUCCCUGGCCCAGGAACUUCUGCAUGCCACAGAUAUGCGCCCCCCCCAAAAAAAAAAUUCAGUGAUUUUUCAGUUCACCUCAGAUGUGGGUUUAUUUGAAGUAAAUAACAACUUAACAACCAGUUUUGAGGGUAUCUAUGCUGACUUUUAUAUUUAAGCUCUGUAUAUACGUAGAUCAUCGUCCCAAGCCAAUUCUGCUGAGAAUUUAAGAGAUUAUUUAGUACUUGUCAAGUUUAUAUCAUAGGUGUUUUAAAAUUUCAUUUAUUUUUAUUACUCAAAUGAAUUUAUCACAUCUGUAGUUGUAUAAUGAUCCUAACAAUCCAAUUUCACAGGGUUUCUAUCCCACAGCCCAAGCACAUCCCUCCACCCCCCUUAAAAUUUCUUUUAAACUUUAAAAAAUACUGUAGUCUAUGUAUACCAUAAAGCAUGUCUCUGGCCCAGGAUACUGCCUUUCACAGAUGAUACCGUUGGAUUUUAGUGCUUUGCAGGAGGAAGUUAAGCCGGUACUACAGAAGCUAGGCCAAGAUGAAGACAUGGAUGUCAAGUACUUUGCACAGGAAGCUAUAAGUGUGCUUGCGUUGGCAUAAUGAGGAACAGGCGGGAAAAGACUUUACUAAAUUCUUAUCACAGAUUUCUAGUCAAUGUGUUCUUAAACUGGGUGGAGAAAAAAAUGGAAAACCUUCAAGACCUCGUCUGAGCAAAUGGCAACAACUUACAAGAUCAAAUUUCAGUGACUUGAUUCUUUCUAAAGAUGAAAUGGGAUUGUUUUUUACUUGUCUUCCUUGUUGGGAUAAUUAUAUUUAAACCAUUCUUAUUGUUUGUGACAAAUGCCUAACACUUGGUACAGUCAUUUCUCACCUGUCUCCUAAUGAUUUAUCUAGCACCAUCUGGGCUCCUGCAGCCUCAUUGUUUAAUCAGGCCCCGGCCACUUAAUAUUCCUGACCAAGUCUGGAUAGAUUUGGACCCAGAUGUGGAUCGGAGUGAUUCUCUUGAUGUUUACAUGUAUCUCUGUGUCUCCAUCAUUCCAAAGUGAAAUGUACAUGGUUUAGAAUAACUGAUUUUGUAAACACUCUACUUGGGAGACACAUCGAGCGUUAACUGUAGGGGAAGCUCUUUGUUCCAGGAUAGUGAUGGUCUGCAUCGGUUUCUCACAUGAAAGGAAAUGUGGAAGCUCAGGGUUCAUGUGUUGGUUGUUUUGGUUUUUCUUUGCUCAAUUUGGAUUGUAAUCAUGUCAUUCAGAAACUUGAAGUGCAGAUGCAUCGUGCUGCUAACACGUGAUGUUGAGACCUCACUCAAUUCCAGCAGCUCCUCACCGUGACUGCAUUCUGAAAUACUUCUCUCUCUCCCCCCGGAGAUACUUACAAUGUAGUGCCUCCUGCUAAGCAGUGGUUCUCCUGUUUGAUGGUAAGAUUCCAGUUCUGUCUCUACUGAGUGAAGAAACCACGGGUCUAAUACAGUGAGCGUUUCCUGCUCUUUACUGGGUUCUGCCUGCGGCCCUGUGGACAUUUGUUCCUUGCUACGUUGCACUUCAGUACCUUUCCAGACUGAAGUUUCAUUACUAAUGUUUUGGUAUGACUGAUACUGGAAUCUUAUCAUUUGAAAUUUUUUUUUUUUAAACUUUUACAGUAAAACCUCAUUAAUUCCUCCUGGAAUUGAAGAUAAUGAAUUAAGCUGAAGGGUUUGCUGAAGCAAAUUAAUAGUAUGUAAGGAGGCCUGUUGUGUCUGAACUACUUAAAUAAUUUUAACACUUUUUAAAAGCACCCUUUUAAAGGUUCCCCGGUGGUCACCACUGCAGCCCAGGUUCAAUCCCUGGUCUGGGAACUGGUAUCCCACAUCAGGCCACCACAUGCUGCAGCCAAAAAAAAAAAAAUAAAAUCACCCUUUUACCAGCUGAUGUGCCAGUUACUAAUCACCCAUUUCAGUUAUAUUAAUCUACCCUCCAUGAGGAUAUUUAUGAGGCCACGCCUUUUUUUAGAUGCUUUCCGUUUACUCUUUAUCCCUGACAUAUGUAUCUGUGUAUUUCAUGGAGAAUUUAAGUGUUUUUUCUUUUAAAUUUAUGAACAAUUUGCAGCUAAUCAACCUGACCUUGUCCCUAAUGAAUUUUUAAUUGAUGAGGUUUAUUGUAGCUUAUUUUUCUCUCAGUGCAUCUUGCUGCGUCAGUUAGCUUGUUUCCAUUUUGGUUUUCUAAUAGUUUCUUUCAUUCACAGUCUCUUAAAGCCAGUGAGCCCCAUUCUGUUUUGCGAAGGUCCAAAGAAUCCUAGAAAACCUUUGAUAUUAAACCAUUUCAUAAAACCAAAUUUGACCAAAUACUUUAAAGUUUGUCUUAUCUUAGAAAAACAGAACAUUUUAAGUCUCUGCCUGCAUUUAAAACUGCCAUACUACCUUAUAGUAAGUUUCUAUUUUAUUACUUUUGGGCUAAGGAUUAAAUAAUUUCCCAGGAAAAAUAUUUUACGUUCUUGUUUUAGUAUCUUAAACUACUAUGCUGUAAACAAUGUUAGUUUCACAGUCUUUUUGGUUUUUUAUUACCUGCAGGUUUAUGUUCUUCAUUGACUUUCAUAUUCGAGAGAGUGUUGUCUUGAUUGAAACAGAUUUGCACAACCAUCGCAUUUCCAUUCAUCUGGUUGGAAAUGACACUGGUUUGGGGAUAGACCUUUAAAUGCCCUUGUGGCCCCCCUGGGGAGCGCUGUGCCUGGACCUCCUCCCUAAGACUGUGCUGAGGGGGAGACGGAGCUCAGGCUUCCUCAGUGCAUUAGGGAGCCCAUCGGGGCCCUGUCUCUUUGGGUGACCCUGUAGGGACGUCAUUGUUUUUUUCUGACUCAAAACAAUAGGGAAUCCCUUCUGUUACGCCUCAAGGGAUUGUUCUUUGCCUCACAACGUGGUCAUUUUCUCCAUGGAUUAGUUUCCCUGUCUUGAUUUCACUGGAAUGUAAGCUCCAGAUGCUCUGGAAGGGCAGGGAUUUUUGUCAGUUUUGUCUUCUACUGUAUCACCAGCGCCUGGGUCAGAGUCUGCUGUACGUAGGUGCUCAAUAAAAGUGUGUUCAAUGAAUUUCUAAAA